UGUUAGAUGGUAGCCUUCAGAGCAGGCCCUUUACAGAAAGUUUUCUGGAGUUAAAACACAAGCAUAUAACCUACUGAGCACUCCUACGGUUUCAUUAUUUAUUACACAACAAUGUUACUAAUAGCAAUAAUGUGUGCAAGGCAGCCCAGGAUUUCUUAGCAAAACUAAUGCCAAUAAACCAAAGAAAGAUUCUAAGGCAUACUGUAACAGGUAGUUUAAAGUUUUUUCUUACAGUGCUACAUUUAGAAGGAGUCAAGCCAUGCAGUGCUUUAUAGCUUAAGAUUUCAAUGUACUUAAAAAAAACAAAACAAAAAACACCUCUCAGCCUUCAGAAGACAGCCAUAUUUCUGCCUCUCCUCAGCUCUGGGAGAAGCAGUGCUCCUUGCAGACCCUUAGGGUAAUGCUUCUGAGUCUGCUGGUUGGUACCAAUUUAACCAGAACAGGAGACUUCCCUCGACUUCCUUCUUGAGAGGCAAGUUAAAUUCACUGAACUUAUAAAAUGUGGCACCUUUUAAUGUCCCACGGAAGUCUUACGUAUAGCAAUUCAGUUCUUACUUUGGAAAUCCCUGCACAGCCAAAGUCAUUUCGGAAAAAGUUAAAUCUGAUAAUAAACAUUUAACUUCACUAUAUUUCCCUUUUCUGGAUAUCAGGUUGCUUCUCCACAUGAAUUGGAAAAGGAGGCAAACUCUUUUAUUCUUUAGACACUGGAAAAAUACUUUGCAACUGGGCACUGGCUGCUUGAUGAAGAUUAAGGCUUUUAAAAAUAGGAAAGCUUUUUGAAGAUUACAGUAAAGUGAAGGGCAUUUAAGUAUUUUUUGGAUAUAACUGCCACAGCAACUAUCAAAAAUGAAUUUAAGAUACAUAACAAGAUUACCUCUAAUUUUACCAUUACUUGUGAUUUUAAAGUGGACAAACAUUACCCAUUAAGAACCCUGGAAAAGCCAAUGAUAAACUGAAUUCCUGAAAUGAUAAAUCAUUCAAAAUAGGGAAGAAUCCUAAAAUUUGAUUAGACUUUAGUAUAUCAUGGCAAGAUAUAGGCGCAAGCUAAAUAUGUAACUAGUGAAAUCCUUAAAAAGAAUUUUUAUUUUCCUCAAACAGAAGACUUGGAAGAAAACCAAGGUAUUUCCUAAGUGUAGUAAAUACUGGAGGCUUGUCCCAAGGGAAGUCUUUUUCCAAUCUCUUGCUGCAAUGAUUAUAACACUAAAUCGAGUGAGGAAUAUUAAUGCUUGUCAUUUAUAUGUCACUAAGUUUGCUUUCUUUUAGGAGGAAAACUUGGUUAAGUUCUGUCACAUCAAGACUCUAGCUAGCUGCCGCGGCGUUACGCUUAUUAAUUACUGAUGGGCUCCAUGGAGUUAAUCAGCCUUUAGGCACAUGUUCUGGGGAUCUAACAGAUGUUCCCUCCUUAGUCUCAAUAGGCCAACCAAGCUCACCCCUUGGAAAUUGUCCAGUUCUAGGAGCCUGUCCUUUGUAGAAAGUGAAUUGUUGACUUCGCUCAACACAAGCUGUCUUCUUCCUUCAAGGCUGUCACAGCAUGCCACAGCGAGAGUAUUCUGAUCACCAAGGAGGAAUACAACCAGCAAAGUAUUCUGCCAAGAGGCCCAGGUCCGAACAUGCCAUCCCAGCACCACAAAGCUUGCUCAGUGCGGAUUAGCACAGGAAUGAAGUCAAGUGAACUCUGCGUGCUAAUGAGUGGAAGAUUUGGCACUGGCCAUGGGGGUCCAGGAACAGCACCGCAUAGACUGUGUGCCCCGGCAGGCCUGUGGGACCAGACCGCGUGGGUUCUAGCACUGGCUCUGUCUUACACGGUGUGAUCUGGGACAGGUGACCCAACCUGUCCAGGCCUGAGAUUUUACAUCUGUGAUAAAAGUUAGGAUGGCCAUGUGGAUUAAAACAAGAUGAUCCAGAUAAAGUACAAGCGUCUGGAAUGAGUUACACUGGUCGGGAAGGUUAGUGUCGUUUGACAUGGACUCCAGAAUUGAAAUGAUUUGCUUAAAAGAUGGCCGUUUCUGAGGAAGAGAAAAUAAUCACUUGUUGGGACUUAGGAAAGCAAGUCUUGAAGAGAAAAUCCACAAGCACAGCAAUAAGCUCGACGCACCACAACAAAAUAAAACGGCAUGCAACGUCCUGAGUUAUUUUACGACUGUCAGACUGCUCAGGUUGAAGGGGACCAUAUUCCUUAUUUUCAAUACAUUAUUUGUAAGAACAGAGUCAGAUGUCAUUUUUCUAUCAUGUGGCCUAAGGUUGGAAUAAUUACAGUUUUUCUCCAGGUAAGAAAAAGCCAUCUCAGAAAAGUAUGGAUUGGCCAGUAUCACACAGGAAGCAAGUUUCUGAAUCAGGGGCAAGGCUCUGAAACCCUUCAAUGUGUUUUAUCACAUGAGGGGAAAGGCAAUGGGCCUUCAUGCUCAAAUGUGCUAACCACAGGAAAGUCUACAUUUUGGAAUGUCUCCAACUCUGUAGUGAUGGCUUCAAAACAUCAUGAAUCCGGACAAGGAGUAUCUAUCAAGUUUCUCUAGAAGUGCUACUCUGGGGGCGCCUGGGUGGCUCAGUCGUUAAGCCUCUGCCUUCGGCUCAG